rnacentral:rRNA from 1 species
GGGGAAUAUUGGACAAUGGGCGCAAGCCUGAUCCAGCCAUGCCGCGUGAGUGAUGAAGGCCCUAGGGUUGUAAAGCUCUUUCAACGGUGAAGAUAAUGACGGUAACCGUAGAAGAAGCCCCGGCUAACUUCGUGCCAGCAGCCGCGGUAAUACAAGGGGGCUAGCGUUGUUCGGAAUUACUGGGCGUAAAGCGCACGUAGGCGGAUCGAUCAGUUAGGGGUGAAAUCCCGGGGCUCAACCCCGGAACUGCCUCUAAUACUGUCGAUCUCGAGUUCGAGAGAGGUGAGUGGAAUUCCGAGUGUAGAGGUGAAAUUCGUAGAUAUUCGGAGGAACACCAGUGGCGAAGGCGGCUCACUGGCUCGAUACUGACGCUGAGGUGCGAAAGCGUGGGGAGCAAAC